GACGAACGCUGGCGGCGUGCUUAACACAUGCAAGUCGAACGGAGUGCCCUUGAAAGAGGCUUCGGCCAAUGGAUGGGAACACUUAGUGGCGGACUAGUGAGUAACGCGUGAGGAACCUGCCUUUCAGAGGGGGACAACAGUUGGAAACGACUGCUAAUACCGCAUGACACAUCGAGGGGGCAUCCCUUUGAUGUCAAAGAUUUAUCGCUGAAAGAUGGCCUCGCGUCCCAUUAGCUAGUUGGUGAGGUAACGGCUCACCAAGGCGACGAUACAUAGCCGACCUGAGAGGGUGAUCGGCCACACUGGGACUGAGACACGGCCCAG
rnacentral:rRNA from 1 species